rnacentral:rRNA from 1 species
ACAGCAGCAGCCGCGGUAAAACGUAGGGUGCAAGCGUUAAUCGGAAUUACUGGGCGUAAAGCGUGCGCAGGCGGUUAUAUAAGACAGAUGUGAAAUCCCCGGGCUCAACCUGGGAACUGCAUUUGUGACUGUAUAGCUAGAGUACGGCAGAGGGGGAUGGAAUUCCGCGUGUAGCAGUGAAAUGCGUAGAUAUGCGGAGGAACACCGAUGGCGAAGGCAAUCCCCUGGGCCUGUACUGACGCUCAUGCACGAAAGCGUGGGGAGCAAACAGGAUUAGAUACCCCUGUAGUCCCUGUCUCUUAUAC